rnacentral:rRNA from 1 species
GAUGAACGCUGGCGGCGUGCCUAAUACAUGCAAGUCGAACGGACGCACAGUAAGCUUUUUCCCUUGCUGUUAGCGAGUGGCGGGUGAGUAACGCAUGCAUCACCUACUUCUUUGUCUUGGAUAACUUCGGAAGGCCAGUUAUGCUACCACCUCAUACUUUGUACCGCUUGAUUCAAAAGUGCUUCGCGCUUUUCGCGUUUCUUUUAGCCGAUUCCGCGUUGCAUUAGCUAGUUGGUAAGGUAACGGCCUACCAAGGCAACGAUGCAUAGCCGAUCUGAGAGGGUGAUCGGCCACACUGGAACUGAGACACGGUCCAGACUCCUACGGGAGGCAGCAGUAGGGAAUAUUGGGCAAUGGGCGAAAGCCUGAUGGAGCAAUGCCGCGUGGGUGAUGAAGGUCUUCGGGUCGUAAAGCUCUUUUAUUAGGAAAGAACAGAUGCAGAAGUAAAUGUGGAUAUUCUGACGGUACCUAAACAGAAAGCAACGGCUAACUACGUG